UACGAAGGACCCGAGCGUUAUCCGGAUUUACUGGGUUUAAAGGGUGCGUAGGUGGACCCAUAAGUCAGUGGUGAAAGCCUCCCGCUUAACGGGAGAACUGCCAUUGAUACUGUGGGUCUUGAGUAUAGUUGAGGUAGGCGGAAUAUGUCAUGUAGUGGUGAAAUACGCAGAUAUCGGGAAGAACACCCGUGGCGAAGGCAGGUCUCUGGGCCACUACUGACGCUGAGAAGCGAAAGCAUGGGGAGCGAACAGG
rnacentral:rRNA from 1 species